UGACUCCAUAAGGUGGGAAACCUACAACAG
rnacentral:piRNA from 1 species